AUGAACGCUGGUGGCGUGCCUAAUACCUGCAAGUCGCGCGAACGGACGAGAAGCUUGCUUCUCUGAUGUUAGCGGCGGACGGGUGAGUAACACGUGGAUAACCUACCUAUAAGACUGGGAUAACUUCGGGAAACCGGAGCUAAUACCGGAUGAUAUUUUGAACCGCAUGGUUCCAAAGUGAAAGACGGUCUUGCUGUCACUUAUAGAUGGAUCCGCGCUGCAUUAGCUAGUUGGUAAGGUAACGGCUUACCAAGGCAACGAUGCAUAGCCGACCUGAGAGGGUGAUCGGCCACACUGGAACUGAGACACGGUCCAGACUCCUACGGGAGGCAGCAGUAGGGAAUCUUCCGCAAUGGGCGAAAGCCUGACGGAGCAACGCCGCGUGAGUGAUGAAGGUCUUCGGAUCGUAAAACUCUGUUAUUAGGGAAGAACAUAUGUGUAAGUAACUGUGCACAUCUUGACGGUACCUAAUCAGAAAGCCACGGCUAACUACGUG
rnacentral:rRNA from 1 species